rnacentral:tRNA from 1 species
UGGGGAGUAGCCAAGCGGUAAGGCAGUGGCCUCUGAAGCCACCAUCGGGGGUUCGAAUCCCUCCUCCCCAG